rnacentral:misc_RNA from 1 species
CUAUUCGGAAUAUCAAUGUACGCUUGAAUAAAUUUCAUUGGUAAAAUUGAACGAAGAUUUAUAAAAUAAAAUAUUAUAACCAAGUUAACUAAACUACUAUAAUAAAGUUUUUUUGGCAUAACGGAAUUAAUUCUGAUGAAUAUAAGAAACUGCGUACCGUAUACAGUGUUCUUCAUUGUUAUUAUUUUUGCCGAAAUAAAAUGUUUCAGAAUCAAUCAAGACAACAACGGCAUUCAAAAAAUUAAAAAAGAACGAGAGAAAGAUGUAAAGGUGUCUUCUCGUUUAAUAGAAAAAGUCUUUGAAAAAUAUCCUUACUUUUUGAACGAUUUUCUAGACUUCAAUAUAUCUGCUGCUGAUGGAGAAACCCAUAAAGUUGGUUAUAUUAAGGAGAUGGUGUUAGAAGUUACUAGAAAUGAUGGAUACCAGGUUCUCACAACUGAAAACAUCGAAGAUUCUUUCUUAGGUCAACAUUCAAGCUUGUUUACCUGCAGUGAAGUGAGAAGAUAUAUUGGCAAUCCAAAGUACAGCGAGUACCUAGAAGGUGAUUAUGGAUCUCAAAUAAUUUUAGUUUCUGGUGACAAUGGUCAACUGAAACCCAAGUCAAUAGCAAAGAGAGACGCUGGAUGUCUAAUUGGAGAUAAAUGUGUUUAUAAUCAUCAUUGCGAAAAUAAAACGGCAGGUGUUGAAAAAGAUUUUAAACGCUGUAAAAUUUCUGAGACCAAUGAAGAUUGUUUUUCAACUGAAAUGACUGAGAUGCUAAGCGAUGAAUUGGAAUUCCUGACCGGUUAUCGUCCUCACGUUGUAAUAAACAACCUGCACCAAACAAGAGUAAACGUUAACCUUCCACCUGGAAUUGGUACAUUUGAGGUGGAUGAAGCCAGAAGAGCUUGGCACAGUUUUCACAAGCUGUUGUAUAAAGCGCAGAAAAGAUUUAAAGGUAAAAAAGGGCUUUUAAUAGACGUUCAUGCAAAUUCAAAAACUGACCACAUACCAGAAAUCGCAUUUAAUUAUGGUUUGUUUAAAGAGUCUGAAAAUACAUCUUCAUCAAUAGAUAGUUUAAUGAACCAUACAAGUCUUUCUUUUCAUGAACUGACUGAAGGUAAAAGAAGCAUGUCACAUUACAUGGACGAAAGUGGCUACAAUGUUACUGCGGUUCCGCAAUCAGCUUUAAAUGUAAGUUAUGUAGUAGAACACUACGGAUCAAAUAAAAGGUAUCCAGGACGAAAUAUUGACGCAGUACAAGUAGAUAUGCGUAUUAAUCGAAAAAAUAAAAAACUAUUAAAAACAAUGGUUGAGGAUUUAUCAUCUGCAGUUUAUAAAUUUCUUUUAGAAUACUACUAAUAAUACUUUAUGAAGCAAUUUGCAGAACUAUUGUCACCGCCUCCGUACCACUAAAACAUUGCUAAUACACUACUUUCAAAAAUUCUUUAGUUGUUUUUGACUCAUAGUAAAGAACAUCCAACGGAAUGUUUUCAUUGGUUGAUGGAAAAGUAUCUCUAAACUUUUUUAAAAAAAUUUGUUUUUAUUGCAUUAAAUGUAAAACUUUUUUUUAAAAAUUUUGUUAUGAUUGA